GACGAACGCUGGCGGCGUGCCUAACACAUGCAAGUCGAACGGUAAGGCUUUGCUUUUGUGGGGUGCUCGAGUGGCGAACGGGGGUGUAUCACGUGAGUAACCUGCGCUUGUCUUUGGGGUACCUUCAGGAAACAGGGGUUAAUAUAGGACAGGAGAACCUGCAGCAUGGUGGGGGUUGGAAAGUUUCGGCGGUUGGGGAUGGACGCGCGGCUUAUCGGUUUGUUGGUGGGGUAGUGGCUUAACAAGGCAUCGACGGGUUGCCGGCCUGAGAGUGUGACCGGCCACAUAGGGACUGGGGAAGGGCCCAGACGCCUACGUGAGGCAUCAGUGGGAAUCAUUGCACAAAGGGCGGAAGCCGUAAGCAGCAACGCCGCGUGCGAGAUGACGGCCUGCGGGGAAUAAACCGCUUGCGCCUGUGACGAAGCUUGAGUGACGGUAAUGAGUAAAGAAGCACCGGCUAACUACGUG
rnacentral:rRNA from 1 species